rnacentral:tRNA from 1 species
GGGGACGUAGCUCAGCGGGGAGAGCGAUGCCUUUGCAAGGCAGAGGUCAGGGGUUCGAGUCCCCUCGUCUCCA